ensembl:lncRNA
UGGAAAGCUAAAUCUAUUUCAUAGCUUUUGAAAUAAAUCCUCCUGUUAAGGUGCCUGUAAAUGAAGAAAUAAACCCACAAGUAGUGUGUUUGUUUCAUGUUCAUGUGUCCCGUCGCUGGGUCCCGUCUGGUCUUUCGUCAAGGAGGCUUUUAUUGUGUAGGGUCAUGUCCGGAAGCCGUUUGUUAAAUGCCGCGUGCUUAUCUCUCGGUGGACGAGGGGGGGCACAGAGGAUGAGGGGGGAGGAGAGCAGCGCUCAUUGUUACCAGCCCGACGAGGAGCGCCGGAGACCCCGUCGCUGCACGUGAAUUCUCGCCAUUCAGGUAAACUUGGGUUUAACGGAACCGGUUCCAGCUAGCUUACAUUCACACCGUUUCUCCCCCUCAACCUCCCCCCGCCCCGCGCGCCGCUCGGCCCGGUGAGUUCACGUCACAACGCCGGUACACGCGCUGCGUCUCCCGUUAACCGGAGCGGACCGCCGUCUCGUUACCGCGAGGAGGAGCGCGUUACCGUGAAGAGGAGCGCGUUACCGUGAGGGGCAGCCCGUUACCGUGAGGAGGAGCGCGUUACCGUGAGGAGGAGCCGUUACCGUGAAGAGGAGCGCGUUACCGUGAAGAGGAGCGCGUUACCGUGAGGGGCAGCCCGUUACCGUGAGGAGGAGCCCGUUACCGUGAGGGGCAGCCCGUUACCGUGAGGAGGAGCCGUUACCGUGAGAGAGAGC